UCUGGCAUCAUUCAUGUGUCCAAGUUGGCUUCGAUCGAUCAUCACUGUCGAUGGUGUUCGCACCACCUAGGUUUAUCUUUUAUUUUCAUUUUGUACUUAUUUUUAUGCAUUAUUAUAUUUUCUACUUACAUAUAUUGUACUGUUGUGGGCAAUAUUUUUUGUAUAUAGUACACCUUAUCCUUAAUGAAAAUGAAUACUUUAUCUUAUGUUCAUCUUUUGUGCUUGAUUGUCUAACUACUUGAUGAUGACAAAAAGGGAGAUAAGUACAUGCAAAAAUAAUAACUGUGAAAUGUAUAACAACUAAAAUA
rnacentral:lncRNA from 1 species